UUUGGAAGGGACAACUGUGAUGGGGCCCCACAACAACCUUCUGAAUGGAGUGCAGCGACCUUCACUGUCUACAUGUUUAACUAACAGUAUCCUAAAGAGGCCUCAAACACUAAAGAGCUUUUUGUGGAAUCAAUUCCAAGAUGUCAGCAAAGCAGAGAAGAGACGGAGGAUCAACGCACCUGUCUGCACCCUAUUAAGAAGGCCCCUGGGUUUUGAGUUGAUGGGCUAGUAUUGAUGCCCACCCACACCCCACAGCUUCCCCAGUUCAAGACUGGUUGAGACCUUUUGUUAUUUAUUACCAUGUUCCCCCUGAUGAUAGACUGUCUGGAAGUGAGCUAGAUUCUUCAGUGAAACUGUAAUUUUGUUUGUAUGAAAAAAAAAGAUAAAAUACAUUUGUAAUAUGUGAUGUUGCAUAGUGUGUUAAUAAUAAAAAAUAAUAAAAAGUU